UACGGAGGGUGCAAGCGUUGUCCGGAAUCACUGGGUGUAAAGGGUGUGCAGGCGGGACUGUAAGUCAGGGGUGAAAGUCUGCGGCUUAACCGUAGAACUGCCUUUGAUACUGCAGUUCUUGAGUCUCGGAGAGGUCACUGGAAUUCGUGGUGUAGCGGUGAAAUGCGUAGAUAUCACGAGGAACACCAGAGGCGUAAGCGGGUGACUGGACGAGAACUGACGCUCAGGCACGAAAGCGUGGGGAGCAAACAGG
rnacentral:misc_RNA from 1 species